UACGGGGGGAGCAAGCGUUGUUCGGAAUUACUGGGCGUAAAGCGCGCGUAGGCGGACCUGCAAGUCGGGGGUGAAAGCCCGAGGCUCAACCUCGGAACUGCCUUCGAUACUGCGGGUCUCGAGUCCGGGAGAGGUGAGUGGAAUUCCUAGUGUAGAGGUGAAAUGCGCAGAUAUCGGGAGGAACACCUAUGGCGAAGGCAGCUCGCUGGGACGUUACUGACGCUGAGACGCGAAAGCGUGGGGAGCAAACAGG
rnacentral:rRNA from 1 species